rnacentral:rRNA from 1 species
GCGACCCCAGGAUAGGC